rnacentral:pre_miRNA from 1 species
AAAGUACUCCCACCGUCCCAAAAUUCUUGUCUUAGAUUUGUCUAGAUACGGAUGUAUCAAGUCACAUUUUAGUAUUAGAUACAUCCGUAUCUAGACAAAUCUAAGACAAGAAAUUUGGGACAGAGGGAGUAGUUG